rnacentral:lncRNA from 1 species
GAUUUUUUGUAUAUUUAUUUCGUUUUUAUGAACAUAUUUUCGUUUUAUGAACAAUUGUUUACCAUUUUCGACAUAUAUUUCAUUUUUUGUGAAUAUUGCAACGUUUGACACGCCAUACAUAAUAUGAAUAUACUAUAGGGUUGUAAAAUGUGAAGGUAUGCUGAGUCAUCAUUGUAAAGGCCAAGGAUGUUCAUGAAAUAUUUAUGUAACUUUAUAUUUGAGUAAUUUCAUUAAAACUAGAAUAAACCAG